rnacentral:rRNA from 1 species
AUUGAACGCUGGCGGCAUGCCUUACACAUGCAGGUCGAACGGCAGCGCGGGGCAACCUGGCGGCGAGUGGCGAACGGGUGAGUAAUAUAUCGGAACGUACCCUGGGAGUGGGGGAUAACGUAGCGAAGUUACGCUAAUACCGCAUACGAUCUAAGGAUGAAAGUGGGGCGUCGCAAGACCUCAUGCUCCUGGAGCGGCCGAUAUCUGAUUAGCUAGUUGUUAGGGAAAGCCUACCAAGGCAUCGAUCAGUAGCUGGUCUGAGAGGACGACCAGCCACACUGGAACUGAGACACGGUCCAGACU